rnacentral:rRNA from 1 species
GACGAACGCUGGCGGCGUGCCUAAUACAUGCAAGUCGAACGAGGUGCUCCUCGGUGGCAACACCUUGGGGUUACCUAGUGGCGAACGGGUGAGUAACACGUGAGGAACCUGCCCCGAAGACCGGGAUAACCCUCCGAAAGGAGAGCUAAUACCGGAUACCCCCACCGAGCCGCAUGGUUUGGUGAGGAAAUGGAUUCCGCUUCGGGAGGGCCUCGCGGCCUAUCAGCUAGUUGGUGGGGUAACGGCCCACCAAGGCAUCGACGGGUAGCUGGUCUGAGAGGACGAUCAGCCACACUGGGACUGAGACACGGCCCAGACUCCUACGGGAGGCAGCAGUGGGGAAUCUUGCGCAAUGGGCGAAAGCCUGACGCAGCAACGCCGCGUGGGGGAUGAAGGCUCUCGGGUUGUAAACCCCUUUCAGCAGGGACGAAUCAAGACGGUACCUGCAGAAGAAGCACCGGCUAACUACGUGCCAGCCGCCGCGGUAAUAC